AACGUAGGACGCAAGCGUUAUCCGGAAUUACUGGGCGUAAAGCGCGUGUAGGCGGGUCUGUAAGUCUGUCGUGAAAGCUCCCGGCUAAACUGGGAGAGGUCGAUGGAAACUACAGGUCUGGAGUUUGGCAGAGGAAUGUGGAAUUCCGCGUGUAGUGGUGAAAUGCGUAGAGAUGCGGAGGAACACCAUUGGCGAAGGCGGCAUUCGGGGCCACAAAUGACGAUGAGACGCGAAAGCAUGGGUAGCGAACGGG
rnacentral:rRNA from 1 species